GGGCAAUUGGUCUAGGGGUAUGAUUUUCGCUUCGCAUUGUCAUCUCGAUGCGCUCUGUGAAAGGUCACCGGUUCGAAUCCGGUAUUGUCCA
rnacentral:tRNA from 1 species